UUAAACCGGCGCACGGGUGAGUAACACGUGAGUGACCUGCCUUUUAGACUGGAACAACUUACCGAAAGGUGAGCUAAUGCCGGAUGAGUUAUAUAAGUGCAUGUUUAUAUAGGAAAAGUUGGGGAGACCUGACGCUGAAAGAUGGACUCGCGUCCCAUUAGCUAGUUGGUAGGGUAAUGGCCUACCAAGGCGACGAUGGGUAGCCGGCCUGAGAGGGUGGCCGGCCACACUGGGACUGAGACACGGCCCAGACUCCUACGGGAGGCAGCAGUGGGGAAUUUUGCGCAAUGCUCGUAAGAGUGACGCAGCGACGCCGCGUGAAUGACGAAGGCCUUCGGGUCGUAAAGUUCUUUCGACAGGGAAGAAAAUGCCUAUAAGUAACUGUGUAUGUAUUGACGGUACCUGUAUAAGCAGCCCCGGCUAACUCCGUGCCAGCAGCCGCGGUAAUACGGAGGGGGCGAGCGUUGUUCGGAGUGACUGGGCGUAAAGAGCACGUAGGCGGUGUUGUAAGUCAUUAGUCAAAGACUAGAGCUCAACUUUAGUAAGGCUAGUGAUACUAUAAUACUAGAGUAUCAGAGAGGAUUGCAGAAUUCCUGGUGUAGCGGUGAAAUGCGUAGAUAUCAGGAGGAAUACCGUUAGCGAA
rnacentral:rRNA from 1 species